UUGACCUCGAAUCAGGUAGGAAUACCCGCUGAACUUAAGCAUAUCAAA
rnacentral:rRNA from 1 species